rnacentral:rRNA from 1 species
CACUCCUGCGGGAGGCAGCAGUGGGGAAUUUUGGACAAUGGGCGAAAGCCUGAUCCAGCAAUGCCGCGUGAGUGAAGAAGGCCUUCGGGUUGUAAAGCUCUUUUGUCAGGGAAGAAACGGUGAAAGCUAAUAUCUUUUGCUAAUGACGGUACCUGAAGAAUAAGCACCGGCUAACUACGUGCCAGCAGCCGCGGUAAUACGUAGGGUGCAAGCGUUAAUCGGAAUUACUGGGCGUAAAGCGUGCGCAGGCGGUUUUGUAAGUCUGAUGUGAAAUCCCCGGGCUCAACCUGGGAAUUGCAUUGGAGACUGCAAGGCUAGAAUCUGGCAGAGGGGGGUAGAAUUCCACGUGUAGCAGUGAAAUGCGUAGAUAUGUGGAGGAACACCGAUGGCGAAGGCAGCCCCCUGGGUCAAGAUUGACGCUCAUGCACGAAAGCGUGGGGAGCAAACAGGAUUAGAUACCCUGGUAGUCCCAU